rnacentral:rRNA from 1 species
GUGAGUAACACGUGGGCAAUCUGCCCUGCACUCUGGGACAAGCCCUGGAAACGGGGUCUAAUACCGGAUACUGACCCUCGCAGGCAUCUGCGAGGUUCGAAAGCUCCGGCGGUGCAGGAUGAGCCCGCGGCCUAUCAGCUUGUUGGUGAGGUAAUGGCUCACCAAGGCGACGACGGGUAGCCGGCCUGAGAGGGCGACCGGCCACACUGGGACUGAGACACGGCCCAGACUCCUACGGGAGGCAGCAGUGGGGAAUAUUGCACAAUGGGCGAAAGCCUGAUGCAGCGACGCCGCGUGAGGGAUGACGGCCUUCGGGUUGUAAACCUCUUUCAGCAGGGAAGAAGCGAAAGUGACGGUACCUGCAGAAGAAGCGCCGGCUAACUACGUGCCAGCAGCCGCGGUAAUACGUAGGGCGCAAGCGUUGUCCGGAAUUAUUGGGCGUAAAGAGCUCGUAGGCGGCUUGUCGCGUCGGUUGUGAAAGCCCGGGGCU